rnacentral:rRNA from 1 species
UACAGAGGGGGCAAGCGUUGUUCGGAAUUACUGGGCGUAAAGGGUUCGUAGGUGGCUGGCUAAGUCAGACGUGAAAUCCCUCAGCUCAACUGGGGAACUGCGUCUGAGACUGGUCAGCUUGAGUGCAGGAGAGGAACGCGGAAUUCCAGGUGUAGCGGUGAAAUGCGUAGAUAUCUGGAGGAACACCGGUGGCGAAGGCGGCGUUCUGGACUGCAACUGACACUGAGGAACGAAAGCCAGGGGAGCAAACGGG